GAUGAACGCUAGCGGCAGGCCUAACACAUGCAAGUCGAGGGGUAACUAGAGUGAUAGCAAUAUUACUUUGGCUAGACCGGCGCACGGGUGCGUAACACGUAUGCAACCUACCUUAUACUGGGGAAUAACUUCGAGAAAUCGGCGCUAAUACCCCAUAACAUUGCGAAGAGGCAUCUCUUUGCAAUUAAAGCUCCGGCGGUAUAAGAUGGGCAUGCGUCCAAUUAGCUAGUUGGUGAGGUAACGGCUCACCAAGGCUACGAUUGGUAGGGGUUCUGAGAGGAUGAUCCCCCACACUGGAACUGAGACACGGACCAGACUCCUACGGGAGGCAGCAGUGAGGAAUAUUGCGCAAUGGACGAAAGUCUGACGCAGCCAUGCCGCGUGCAGGAUGACGGCCCUAUGGGUUGUAAACUGCUUUUGUACGGGAAUAAACCCUUCUACGUGUAGGAGGCUGAAGGUACCGUAAGAAUAAGCACUGGCUAACUCCGUGCCAGCAGCCGCGGUAA
rnacentral:rRNA from 1 species